AACGCUAGCUACAGGCUUAACACAUGCAAGUCGAGGGGAAACGACAUCGAAAGCUUGCUUUUGGUGGGCGUCGACCGGCGCACGGGUGAGUAACGCGUAUCCAACCUGCCCACCACUUGGGGAUAACCUUGCGAAAGUAAGACUAAUACCCAAUGAUAUCCCACGAAGGCAUCCGAAUGGGAUUAAAGAUUUAUCGGUGAUGGAUGGGGAUGCGUCUGAUUAGCUUGUUGGCGGGGUAACGGCCCACCAAGGCAACGAUCAGUAGGGGUUCUGAGAGGAAGGUCCCCCACAUUGGAACUGAGACACGGUCCAAACUCCUACGGGAGGCAGCAGUGAGGAAUAUUGGUCAAUGGGCGAGAGCCUGAACCAGCCAAGUAGCGUGCAGGACGACGGCCCUAUGGGUUGUAAACUGCUUUUAUAAGGGAAUAAAGUGAGUCUCGUGAGACUUUUUGCAUGUACCUUAUGAAUAAGGACCGGCUAAUUCCGUGCCAGCAGCCGCGGUAAUACGGAAGGUCCGGGCGUUAUCCGGAUUUAUUGGGUUUAAAGGGAGCGUAGGCCGGAGAUUAAGCGUGUUGUGAAAUGUAGUGGCUCAACCUCUGCACUGCAGCGCGAACUGGUCUUCUUGAGUACGCACAACGUGGGCGGAAUUCGUGGUGUAGCAGUGAAAUGCUUAGAUAUCACGAAGAACUCCGAUUG
rnacentral:rRNA from 1 species